CACGUAGGAGGCGAGCGUUGUCCGGAAUCAUUGGGCGUAAAGAGCGCGCAGGCGGCUUGGCAAGUCGGGUGUGAAAUCCCGGGGCUCAACCCCGGGACUGCAUUCGAUACUGUCAGGCUAGAGGUAGGUAGGGGAGAUCGGAAUUCCUGGUGUAGCGGUGAAAUGCGCAGAUAUCAGGAGGAACACCGGUGGCGAAGGCGGAUCUCUGGGCCUUACCUGACGCUCAGGCGCGAAAGCGAGGGGAGCGAACAGG
rnacentral:rRNA from 1 species